rnacentral:rRNA from 1 species
AAUAGAUACCCCGGUAGUCCACGCCGUAAACUAUGAUUACUCGAUGUCGGCGAUAUACUGUCGGUGUCCAAGCGAAAGUGAUAAGUAAUCCACCUGGGGAGUACGAUCGCAAGGUUGAAACUCAAAGGAAUUGACGGGGGCCCGCACAAGCGGUGGAGCAUGUGGUUUAAUUCGAUGAUACGCGAGGAACCUUACCUGGGCUUGAAUGCAUUAUGACCGUCCCGGAAACGGGACUUUCUUCGGACAGAAUGCAAGGUGCUGCAUGGUUGUCGUCAGCUCGUGCUGUGAGGUGUCGGGUUAAGUCCCAUAACGAGCGCAACCCCUAUUCUUAGUUGCCAGCGGGUAAUGCCGGGGACUCUAAGAAACUGCCCGCGUAAGCGGUGAGGAAGGUGGGGAUGACGUCAAAUCAUCACGGCCCUUACGUCCAGGGCUACACACGUGCUACAAUGGUCAGUACAAAGGGCAGCUACCUGGUGACAGGAUGCUAAUCUCGAAAACUGAUCUCAGUUCGGAUCGAAGUCUGCAACUCGUAC